GGAGGAAAAGAAACUAACAAGGAUUCCCCUAGUAACUGCGAGUGAAGCGGGAAAAGCUCAAAUUUAAAAUCUGGUAGCUUCGCCGCCCGAGUUGUAAUCUAGAGAAGCAUUAUCAGCGCUGCGGCGUGUACAAGUGUCCUGGAAUGGACCAUCAUAGAGGGUGACAAUCCCGUCUUUGACACGGCUCCUAGUGCUAUUGAUGUGCUCUCAACGAGUCGAGUUGUUUGGGAAUGCAGCUCUAAAUGGGUGGUAAGUUCCAUCUAAAGCUAAAUAUUGGCGAGAGACCGAUAGCGAACAAGUACCGUGAGGGAAAGAUGAAAAGAACUUUGGAAAGAGAGUUAAACAGUACGUGAAAUUGCUGAAAGGGAAACGCUUGAAGUCGGUCGCGUUGGCUGGGAAUCAACCUUGCUUCUUGCUUGGCUUAUUUCCCAGCUGACGGGCCAGCAUCAGUUUUGACCGGUGGAUAAAGGCCAAGGGAAUGUGGCACCUCUGGGUGUGUUAUAGCCCUCGGUCAUAUACAUCGGUUGGGACUGA
rnacentral:rRNA from 1 species